UGUAUUCACUACUGUGAAUGUCGCUCUGGAUAAGAGCGUCUGCUAAAUGACUACAA
rfam:Salmo salar isolate Sally breed double haploid chromosome ssa03, whole genome shotgun sequence.